CCACCUUCUUCCCAGGGUGCCAACCCCCCAAACAUCGAACCAGAAGAGGCUCCCAUGGAUUUGCCCAUUGUGACAGAGUCUUCUCGCCCAAAUAAGGGGAAGUCUCCAUAGGUGGUGGAGCCAACUGGUGAUAUGUCACUUCCCAAGAUUGCUGAUAAGGGUGCUGAUGAUAUUGUGCGUUCCAUCCAGGACUUGUUCACUUCCUGGGG